GGCAUUGUAGCUCAGUACUAGAGCGCUUGCUUAGCAUGCGUGAGACCCUGGGUUUGAUCCUCAGGACUGCCA
rnacentral:tRNA from 1 species